rnacentral:rRNA from 1 species
AACACAUGCAAGUCGAACGAUGAUGCCCAGCUUGCUGGGCGGAUUAGUGGCGAACGGGUGAGUAAUACGUGAGUAACCUGCCCUUGACUCUGGGAUAAGCCUGGGAAACUGGGUCUAAUACUGGAUACUACCGUCCACCGCAUGGUGGGUGGUGGAAAGGGUUUUACUGGUUUUGGAUGGGCUCACGGCCUAUCAGCUUGUUGGUGGGGUAAUGGCUCACCAAGGCGACGACGGGUAGCCGGCCUGAGAGGGUGACCGGCCACACUGGGACUGAGACACGGCCCAGACUCCUACGGGAGGCAGCAGUGGGGAAUAUUGCACAAUGGGCGGAAGCCUGAUGCAGCGACGCCGCGUGAGGGAUGACGGCCUUCGGGUUGUAAACCUCUUUCAGUAGGGAAGAAGCGAGAGUGACGGUACCUGCAGAAGAAGCGCCGGCUAACUACGUGCCAGCAGCCGCGGUAAUACGUAGGGCGCAAGCGUUGUCCGGAAUUAUUGGGCGUAAAGAGCUCGUAGGCGGUUUGUCGCGUCUGCUGUGAAAGCCCGGGGCUCAACCCCGGGUCUGCAGUGGGUACGGGCAGACUAGAGUGCAGUAGGGGAGACUGGAAUUCCUGGUGUAGCGGUGAAAUGCGCAGAUAUCAGGAGGAACACCGAUGGCGAAGGCAGGUCUCUGGGCUGUUACUGACGCUGAGGAGCGAAAGCAUGGGGAGCGAACAGGAUUAGAUACCCUGGUAGUCCAUGCCGUAAACGUUGGGCACUAGGUGUGGGGGACAUUCCACGUUUUCCGCGCCGUAGCUAACGCAUUAAGUGCCCCGCCUGGGGAGUACGGCCGCAAGGCUAAAACUCAAAGGAAUUGACGGGGGCCCGCACAAGCGGCGGAGCAUGCGGAUUAAUUCGAUGCAACGCGAAGAACCUUACCAAGGCUUGACAUUCACCGGACCGCCCCAGAGAUGGGGUUUCCCUUCGGGGCUGGUGGACAGGUGGUGCAUGGUG